rnacentral:rRNA from 1 species
UACGGGGGGGGCAAGCGUUGUUCGGAAUUACUGGGCGUAAAGGGCUCGUAGGUGGCCAACUAAGUCGGACGUGAAAUCCCUCAGCUUAACUGGGGAACUGCGUCCGAUACUGGAUGGCUUGAGUUUGGGAGAGGGAUGCGGAAUUCCAGGUGUAGCGGUGAAAUGCGUAGAUAUCUGGAGGAACACCAAUAGCGAAGGCAGCUCGCUGGGACGGUACUGACGCUAAGGCGCGAAAGCGUGGGGAGCGAACAGG